UACGGGGGGGGGCAAGCGUUGUUCGGAAUUACUGGGCGUAAAGGGCGCGUAGGCGGCCUGCUAAGUCGGAUGUGAAAUCCCUCGGCUCAACCGAGGAACUGCAUCCGAUACUGGCGGGCUUGAAUCCGGGAGAGGGAUGUGGAAUUCCAGGUGUAGCGGUGAAAUGCGUAGAUAUCUGGAGGAACACCGGUGGCGAAGGCGGCAUCCUGGACCGGUAUUGACGCUGAGGCGCGAAAGCUAGGGGAGCAAACAGG
rnacentral:rRNA from 1 species